rnacentral:rRNA from 1 species
AGUGAACGCUGGCGGCGUGCUUAACACAUGCAAGUCGAACGAGAACGGGUUAUAGCUUGCUAUAAUUGUCAGCUAAGUGGCGCACGGGUGAGUAAUGUAUAGGUAAUAUGCCUCUUACUAAGGGAUAACAAAUGGAAACGUUUGCUAAUACCUUAUACUCCUUAUUAACAGAAGUUAAUAAGGGAAAGAUUUAUUGGUAAGAGAUUAGCCUGUAUUGUAUCAGUUAGUUGGUGGGGUAAUGGCUUACCAAGACUAUGACACAUAACUGGUUUGAGAGGAUGAUCAGUCACACUGGAACUGAGACACGGUCCAGACUCCUACGGGAGGCAGCAGUGGGGAAUAUUGCACAAUGGACGAAAGUCUGAUGCAGCAACGCCGCGUGGAGGAUGACACAUUUCGGUGCGUAAACUCCUUUUAUAUGAGAAGAUAAUGACGGUAUUAUAUGAAUAAGCACCGGCUAACUCCGUGCCAGCCGCCGCAGUAA